rnacentral:rRNA from 1 species
AGCGAACGCUGGCGGCAUGCCUAACACAUGCAAGUCGCACGGGGGGGCUUCGGCCUCCCAGUGGCGGACGGGUGAGGAACGCAUAGGGACCUGUCGAGGGGUGGGGGAUAACCGCGGGAAACUGCGGCUAAUACCGCAUGACGCCGCGGCGUGACAGCCGGGGCCAAAGGCGAAAGCCGCCCGCCGAGGGGCCUGCGUCCGAUUAGCUGGUUGGCGGGGUAGCGGCCCACCAAGGCGUCGAUCGGUAGCUGGUCUGAGAGGGUGAUCAGCCACACCGGGACUGAGACACGGCCCGGACUCCUACGGGAGGCAGCAGUGGGGAAUAUUGGACAAUGGGCGCAAGCCUGAUCCAGCAAUGCCGCGUGGGUGAAGAAGGUCUUCGGAUUGUAAAGCCCUUUCGGCGGGGACGAUGGUGACGGUACCCGCAGAAGAAGCCCCGGCUAACUUCGUG